CACGUAGGGCGCAAGCGUUGUCCGGAAUUAUUGGGCGUAAAGAGCUCGUAGGCGGUCUGUUACGUCUGCUGUGAAAACCCGGGGCUUAACCCUGGGCUUGCAGUGGAUACGGGCAGACUAGAGGCAGGUAGGGGAGAAUGGAAUUCCCGGUGUAGCGGUGAAAUGCGCAGAUAUCGGGAGGAACACCCGGUGGCGAAGGCGGUUCUCUGGGACCGUGACCUGACGCUGAGAGCGAAAGCGUGGGGAGCGAACAGG
rnacentral:rRNA from 1 species